AGCAAACGCCAUGGAACCAGCCGCCAGAUCAGACAUGCUGAAUCUUUCCUGGCAAAUCCUGGAAUAACUCAGAGUGUGGACACUAGAAGACCAGGAUCAUGGUGGGGGGCACAUCUUGGAGGCUGGCUGCCACAGGCAACACAUUUCAAGAUGCCUAUCAAAGCAUCCCAAGAGCACUGGAGAAUGGAGUGACAUCCGUACGGGUAGGAGGGGAUCAUCUAUCAUCAAAGUGGCAGCCAGAAAUGAAAAAAAAGCAGACAGAUAGACCCUACAGGCAACUGCAUCCAGGGACAGACUUGCGUGGCAGCUGGCAACCACUGUCAGAGGUCAGAUGCCCAAUGAAGAUCCUACUGGAACGAGCAGUGACAACAGGACUGCUCCAGAUGGAGAUCAUGGCAGCCCAGAGUGCCAAAGUGACCAGAUCACCACUGCAGCAGACGGAAAGGGUGGCCUGUCUUGUGAGACCCUCCCAUGGCUCAUUGCCCACUUCUCUUCGACCUGUGGCAGGAAGGGUAACAGAGCAUCUGCCUCAAAUGAGACCUCUCCCUUCCAGGUUUGAAAGCUGUUUCCUGAUUGGUUCCAGUCUGCACCUCUGUGUAUACAUACAGCCAAUCAGGGCUCAUCUGGCUCUGUAUAACAGGUUGCUCAAAGGCUUUUCACAGUUCAGGUAGCUAAAGGUGGGGGCGAGGCUGUUUAGGUACUCUGGGAAGGAAGAAGACGCAAGACUUACUGGACGGGCGUGAGAGAUGGCUCAGCAGUUAAGGCCAUCAGCAGCUCUACAUAGGACCUGGGUUCAGCUUCCAGCACCCUCAUGGCAGCUCACAACAAUCUGUAACUCUAAACCUAGGGGUUCCAACAACCUCUUCUGGCCUCCAAGGGCACGAGGCAUGUAUGUGGUCAAAAACAGCUACGCAUAUAACAUAUAAAAAUUAAAAACAAACAAAUAAAUAGAUGUUGAAGACUUUCCAGAGAAAGGUCCCAUGAAAAAGCCAAGAUCUAUAGUGUCCACUGCAAGAAUGGACGGAUUGCCCAGUCUUUGGGACCUGCAGAGAUGGGAAACUCAUACUCUACUCUCUGCAGACCUGCACACUGGCUCUUAGGAGCUGUCCUUGGCUGGGCAUCUUGAAGCCAGCUGAGAACACUACCAACCUCUCUCUAUUGGUUGAUACUCUGUAUCCACUCUCCUGCUUGAGACCUCAGGCUCCUGUUUAAACUCUUCCUAUGCAGCAAUCAAAAGGUUCCCCUUCCCGUUUCCCUUUCACUGCCAGCCACGCCAUUGUUGAAGUAAGGGCCAGGCUAGGACCUGGUUGGAGAAUCGGCUGUCUCAAGGUGUGAGAUGGAGUAGGAGGAAUCUCCAAAAGCAAUCACAGCCAGUGGCCACAGUAGGAUAGCCUCUAGAAGGAAGCAAGAAAGUCUCUGACUGGUCAGGAACAGGUGCAAAAAUCCCGGAUGCACACUGUUGCUUUAUAUCCACCCCUAGGCUCGACAGCCAAAUGCCCACAUCCCUGUAACUGCCACAUCACCAAGGGACAUAAAGCUAUUGUUCUGUUUGAGAAUCCACCCCAAUUAUAAAUGACUUUCGCUUUUCUAGAGGCUGACAAGUUCUUUCCUGAUUGGUCCGUAUUCUUCUUCCCUUUUGUUUGCAUACACAGAUCUAACCAACCAGAGACCUUAGAACUUUUAUGAACCCAUGGACAGUGCAAGCACAUUGGUUACUCUGGCUCGUGGACAGGCUCAGACUUUAGCCAGAUGGGGAGAGCGGGGAUUCUCUGAUUUUCAGACCUUGAUGGCCCUCUCAUUAGACAAGGAAAAUGGAAAGACCCACUAGAAACAGACCGGCCUGAGAUCUGUCAUUCCAGCUGCAGAUAGGGGACCCACUCCUGCUCGCCGGACUUGUUCUUCAAGGACUAUUCUCUCGGUUGCAUCCCCAGGUCUCCUGAGCGCUUCGAACUAUAGCGCUGUCCAGUUCUUUGACUGUUGGGACUCCCAAGAGCCCAGAGCUUCUACUCUCCCACUCCUGUGGCCCUUCCCACAUGGCGACCUUCUGUUUUCCAGUUUGAACUGUUCUCUUCCGUGAAUGAAAAACCCUCCUUUUUUUUUUUUCACCUUUAACUCUUUACCGACUUCAUCCUUGUAGAGAGCAAGACAGGAAGGAAGCCAAGCAGAAACAGAGAAUCAACAGGGUGUGGCCUGGGGGAGGGGGUGGAUCUGGCACCAAAGACCUAAACUAGCUCUCCAGCUUGUUGGCUCCUGAUUUGUCCUUUUGAACUCUUUGAUUAACAAUCGCUGCCUUAUCCCUUUCGCCCAAAUCAUUAAGUAAAUGUGAAGUUCUCACAGCCCUGAGGCAGCUACUCCCAGCUGGAUAACUGGGGCUAGGAACAUGUUCAGGGGCUAGCUGGAAGAUUCAGAGAGGCCAAGGUGACAGCUGUUUUCUGAAGAAUCUGCAACUGAAGUAAGAAGCUCAAGUAUGUGUGUCAAGUAUUGUAUGUAGCUGGACUUGCAUGUAUGAGUCCUCCAUGUCAGCGGAGACCUCAAGCCUGAGAAUGUCUCAUGGAUGUGCAGCUCCCCUGCACCCUGAGGAAGGGACUGGAUCACGUUUGCAGAAUGUGCUAAGGCUUAUGAAACCAGACCUUGCUUGUUACGUAUUUUUCCUUAGCUGAUAAACCUCUCCACCAUGCAAUAAUGGUUUGAUCUGAUCAAACCAGAUCAGACCGAAUUAGAAGACACCCAGGUUUAAGGGAUGGCAACACUCCCAGGUGUCUCCCGCCACCACCACCAUGAC